AGGUGGCUAUUUUAACAUUUCCCUGUGGAAAAGAAGGACUGAAUCUAACUACAUAAAUUCUUUAGAACAAUCUGGAAUGUCUGUUCAAAUUACUGCACCAGAACAUUUCUGGAAGAUUCUCACCCAAAAAGAAAAAAAAAAAAAAAAAAAAAGAAAAAAAAAGCUGAAGAAAACAUGGUCUUCACUCCAGUCCUCUGCCUUGCCAAUCCUACAGCUUGUUCAUUCCCACCUCAAUGACAUUUUCCAUUUCCUGGAAGUGAUGUCGCUUCUUUCUUGGACUCCUAGAUGGAAGACCCAAAGGCAGUCCUAACUUCUUCAGAAAGCCUUCCUGGAUUUGCUGCUCUCCUCCUUUGGCAAAAUUCCAUUGGGCAAACAGAUGAGCUGACACCACCUGGAGCUGGCCACAUGUGGGACCCACCAUGGGAGUAGAAGGUCUGAAGGGAGGAGCGAUGGAUGGAUGUCUAAUACCAGACUCCAGAGACUCCCUAGGCUUAUGAUAAACGAAGGUUCUUCUCUUUCCUGAAGGAUUUAACAGAGUAUUUGUCUCUUCAUUCCCAGGGGCAUAGAUAGUUAUCAGAAGCACCCCAGGAGAAGUAAGGGUGUUUUGCUCAUUCAUAUUUCUAUCAACCAUGAUUGGGAGGGUAGGGAAGGAAAUUGAUGUUGUCUUCUCUGGAUCCUACUGGAGACAUUUUAUGCACUUGCAUGGCAAGUUUUACCUACCUUCUCUUUGACAGGUUCACUUCCCCCAUCAAAGAAUAGUGGCUUUUAAGGUCUUUAUGCUUUUUUCUCCUCCCCCACCCCAUUUCCCCAAUGAUAAAUCACUUCUGGUGAUCAGAACACCUAGACUAAAGCAAAAGUGGAGCUCUCCGUGCUCCACAGAGAGACUCUAAGAGAACUGGUUCUUUAAAGAACAUUAACAAAGGGAAGUUUUCUUGCCCAACUUUUUCUCUUUAUUAUUGUCUGUCUCCCUCUCUCUUUUAAGAGCAUCUGGAACAGGUGAUUAGAGUCUUGCAAAAGUUAACACAGAGAAGAAUUUUACUCCCACUCUGUGGUUCAGUAUUAUAGUUUAUAUGACUUAGCCAAGCUACAGUUCUCAUAACGAAUAUUUUGGAUCGGGUAGGAAAUAAUAAUAUUUAUGCCAGAGACUGUCAGCAUACAUAAUUGGACUGUGAAAACCAUUAGGUUGGAAAGAGUAAGUUAGUAUGUUUCCAAACUCCAUGGGUAAUCACAGUUGCAGAGCACUAUUUUUAACACACCUGAAAUUUACUAGCGGUGCAAGUGUCCUUUCUCUCCACUUCCCUAUUUAGUUAACUUCAAACUGAUUUUAAAUAACGCCAAACAUGCAUGACAUCUUUCCUGUAACCUCAUUCAAUCUGACUGCCAGAGAGCCUUCAAGCAAGGUAAACAGGGAAACUUGUAAGUCAAUCCUCAAAAGAGGUCAGUGGAAAAUUUAUAAAACUGAGAGCUGAUUAAAAAUUCCUCAUUGCCUUAAAAGAUCUAAAAUAAUAUCUCUUAGGAACACAAAUUAGGCUGUUAACACUAACAGAUUCUGGGAAGCGACUCUGGAGAGUGAGGCUUUUGAGGACCAAAUUUGGGAAGGAAUCAUUUAAUUGAAGUACAAUAAUGGUGCAGGAGAUUUAUAAACUUAAGUUAAUAAAGGACCCAGGGAACAUGCUGAGUUUCUGAAUUGUUUCAGAACAGUUCUGAAUGGUGGUUUCUGAUCCUCAAUGAUUUAUGUUAUUGAUGUGAUGGCUUUCAGCUUUCUCUGGAUAAAGAGGACCAUCAUAACAUAAUUUUGAGCCCUCCUUCCAACCUCCCACUGAUUCAUUUCUUUAUUAUUCAGCAGCUGUAUUAUCCCAGUGAAGUUGCAUGGACAGUCUUCAUAGUGUUAAAAGGUGAUACUACAGUGAAUAAGAAAAUGUUACAUCAGAUAGCCAGACAUUAGGUACUGGCUCUUAAAGGGGCAAAAAGAUUAAGCCUGACAUAUUUUCCAUUUCCUAGAAUUAAGGUGUGCUUUUACCGAAAAACCCACAAAGAUUGUAGGAAGAAAUAAUAAAGCAGAAAAAAGAAACAAUUUGGGGGCAUUAAAAAACAGACAUGGGUAAUGGGCUCUGGAGAAAAUAUUAAAUGCUGCACUCUCCAGCAAGAUCCUUCAGCACAAAGAUUAUUUGCCUUACUGGAAUGAAGUUUACAAGACAUCUUAGCAGAUGGACCUUUACCCUCAUCUUCCAGUUCUUUUAGUUUGAUUCCUGUUAAAGGACCCCAAAUGGAUACACUUUCUCAAGUAUUCUGAUGGGAUAAAUUCUCAAAUUUCCAAAGUUUACUUUUUCAGAAGUUCACAACACUUACUAUCUGGGUUCUCUCUCCCAGUAUUUCUGGGAAGGCUAAAACAACCACUCUACUAUUUCCACUUUGUGGGGAGAGGAAUUAAGAAGCCAAAAAAAUCAUACAGUAAGUCAGUGGCAGAAGUUCAAUGAGAGCAGAACAUGGGGGUUCCCAAAUUAUUACUUAUUGUGCAUUAUACCCCAUUUCAUGUUAGCUCUAAGUAAAUUAGAAACACCUUGUCAAAAAAUAUGUUCUUUGUACCCUGU